GGAGGCGCUCGGUCGCGCGCCCCGCCCACACGGCGGCGCGGAGGGGGGGAGGAGACGGGGCGAGCGCGUGCACGACGGGAAGGCCGGCGCGGCACGGCGCCACUGCGCGUGCGCACGGCAUCGGCGGGCCGUUGCGGGGAGGGGGGGAAGAGCGCGAGGGAACCAAAGCGUGAAUGAGGUUAAAAGCGGGCGCGGGAGGAGGGGCGGGCGGCGCAGCUUCCCUCGGCUCGCGCUGCGUCUGUGUGACGCCACCGCGCGCGGGGGCGCGAGCCCCGGACACCUGCCAGUGGCGGAGGGGAAACCGACCGUUGAGGGCUCGAAUUUAAACGGUUUUUUGCGGGAGGUUCCAUUCCUCGGUGGGGCGCGGGAGCGCCGGGCAGGGCUGUACCAACGCCCGCAGGGGGCGGCCCCAGAGGGUGAGGGCGCCUGAGGCGUGGCGGGGAGCGGGAGCCGGCGGAGGGGACCGCUCUCCUCAGUCACGGCCCCGCCCGGGGGCCGCCUGGGUCGCCGUCGGAUACCGGCGUCCCCGCCUGCCUUGUGCUCUGUUCCCGCCGGUUCGCUGCCGAGAUCUGUCAAAGGGCCUGCGGGUCCAGCCCCCGCCGGCGCUGGGGGCUUGUGGGCUGCGGGGCGAUCGUCCCCUCAGGAGGGGGAGGCCGGGAGGGGCCCCGGGGCAGCAGCAGCGGGGCUUCCAACUCUCGAGACUCACCAGUCAGCAGCGUUUUUCCCCCACGAAAAGAAAGCCAAACGAAACGAGCCCGCCCCACGGCUCAAAAGUACUCGGUCAACUUUCUUUUCACGUGGCUGGCGUACUUUCUCAGAGCUCAAGUGUGGGGCUGUCUGCGUAUCCGCAUCCUAUCCGUGGGUUGUUUUGUUGCUUGCUUGUUUUGGUCUCUAAAAUAAAACCCCUAAGAAAACUACGUGCAAUGUAUCCAGCUCUUUCCCCACCAUACACGUGUCGAGCUGUUUGGAUUACAAAAGAGAGUUCCUGUUAACUUAUAAUAGGAUCACAGGAAAACUCGGGUUGGAAGGGACCUCAGGAGAUAGGCGGUCCAACCUCCUGCUCAAAGCAGGGUCAGCUGAGUUUCUGCAUGACUCCGUAUCCACACCGCUCCCCCCCACCCAGCUUGUAAGCAGAGUCAGAACAGCCUGCGCGUGAGAUGAAACUUGGUGAAUCUCAGGAAAAGUUUCAGUCAAAACAUUUCAUAAGACACAAGAGUCUACAAGGCAAAUCUGUUAAAUCAAGGUUCAUCUUCCCUGGUGAGACCUUAGGAUUUUUUGUUUCUAUAGGCUCUUGAGAAUUUCUGCCCCCAGAAUGAGCUCGAAAAGAGCACAAUUUUACAGUACAGGAGGUGUUUUAGCAUUAGAGUACAAAGACUUCGUCAGACUCAUCUAUUACUAUAUUUGAUUUUAAUUUAAAUUAUCUGACUCAGCCACCUUAUUUGCUCUCAUCUUUAACCAGACACAGUACGCAAAAUUAUAUAUGACAAAUUGAAUACAACUGUUAUGAAAGAAAUAGAGGAAAGUGGGCAAGAAUUUGAAUUUCUAUCUCUGGGAAACUGAAUAAACCAAGAAAACAAAAUGUUCCCAAGAUUCAGUGCAAGGUAUCUUCUUCCAUACUACUGCUUCAGUUUUAAGAUUAACUAGGCGCCUCCCAUGUGAUGCUGUGGUUCCAUGUGGCACCAUAUCUAAAUCAUUAGCAACGGUAUGGAUAAAUUUAAAUUCUUUCACAGUAAGCGUGAAACAGCACUGUGAACCACUAAGUGUUGUGUUUGUAAAUGUCAUUGCAUGUGGGUAAAAAUUAGAUACAUAAAUAUGUAUAUUCAUGUGCAGUUGUCACAUCAGCAAAAACUAUAGAGUGGAUAUCAUUCUAUUUGUGUAAAGCUUUAGUAAAUCUUAUUUGUAGUGACUGUUCCAAUUUUGAAUUGUAGGACGUAAACAUCAGUGUAUAUGCAAAAAUAUCCAUCAGUGUAAUGUUUACUCUUAACGAUGCUAGGUCAUCAUAAAUCGGUGUCUUUUUAAAUGAAUUUAAGAUAAACAUCUUUAUUCAAGAUCCGUAAAAGUAUAGUGAGUGAAACAACUACGUAAGAUGUUAUACUAAAAAAGAUACUCAGGAAAACUACUGCAGGAAUGUUCCAUUUUUCUCUCACAUAAGCACAGAGUAACUAUAAGAAAAUAUAACAACUUUUUGACUGUCAUAUCUAGUGUCUUCACAUGUACUCUGAAAGGCAGCUCUUAUGGGUAGGUACCUUGAAUAGUCUGUUUUCUUUUACUGCAUAGUGAAUAGAAUAGAUUCUAUAAUGUAUUAAUACAAGGUUUUAACUCCUAGUUAUAAAUAUACUACAAAUCCAGCAACCAUUUUGCUGACAAAGCAUAUCAGCAAACCAAAGAAUAGGACUGAUUACUUACAGAGAUUCAGAGACUUUUUCAAUAAUUACAA